rnacentral:rRNA from 1 species
CCUACGGGGGGCAGCAGUAAGGAAUAUUGGGCAAUGGACGCAAGUCUGACCCAGCCAUGCCGCGUGGAGGAUGAAGGUCCUCUGGAUUGUAAACUUCUUUUAUCUGGGAAGAAACCCAUGAAUUCUUUCGUGGUUGACGGUACCAGAUGAAUAAGCACCGGCUAACUCCGUGCCAGCAGCCGCGGUAAUACGGAGGGUGCAAGCGUUAUCCGGAUUCACUGGGUUUAAAGGGUGCGUAGGUGGGUUGGUAAGUCCGUGGUGAAAUCUCCGAGCUUAACUCGGAAACUGCCGUGGAUACUAUCAAUCUUGAAUAUCGUGGAGGUAAGCGGAAUAUGUCAUGUAGCGGUGAAAUGCUUAGAUAUGACAUAGAACACCGAUAGCGGAGGCAGCUUGCUACACGAUCAUUGACACUGAGGCACGAAAGCGUGGGGAGCAAACAG